UCCACAUAAAUUUGCUCAGCCCUCAGGCCACAAGAUUUACAGGCGAGGCAAUCAGAAGUCGUAUAGGGGACUUCUGUCGACAUCGUAAUUCAAACCUGCGCCUGCAUCUGAACCACCACACUGCCUUCCCACCGUACUGCCUUCCCCCGGGAACGUCACAAGGCCCCAAAACCAGGCGACAGCCAUCGGGCGUCCUUAACGUUAUGCCCUGUCCAAUACAUUAAUGCUCAUCCUAGUCUAGGGCAGUUGAAAAGUUUAUGCAGCCAUGACGAGUCGUGUCAAAUUCAUUCCCCGCCGUGUUUGGAUGGUUUGCGCGAUGCAGCAGGCAGCAAGAUCUUGAACGCGCUUCAGUUUGCGUGAAAAACCCAAGAACGCUGGUCCAGGCCUUCACCUCAAAAGUGAGUGAUACGGAAGCAUGAUGAGGUCCCGUAUAUGCUGUGGAUGUAAGGCGCAGUGCCCAGCUAGAGCUGCAGCAGGCAGCAGUCGUAAACUGAGUAACAGUGCAGCGCGGAAAGCACGUGCUGUGUGCAGGUCAGACCCUCCCUUGCUAAACCACUGCAGCGAAAUUGUCCUUGCCACAGGCCACCAUCCACACGGCCGUCAACCCCGAAAGCAAGGAACAACAAGAGCCAUUAUAACGAGUGCAGCGCACAAAUAUGCAAAACCAAGCUUGAAACCAUAAGAACAAUCAACACAUUACAAGCUGACACACCCUUUGACACCCAACAUUAUAUUGCGCGCAGCCAAUCCUCGAGCUUAAGAAGGUCUGGGUCAAUCAACAAACAUUUUAAGUUGGUCACAUUCAUCCGAAGCAGCUUUUUCCUCACCGCGAAGCAACCGCCCAGUCACCAGUUAACCAUAGUAAGUCGCUUAAUAACUUCACCACAACAAGUUGAGCGCGUUAACAAGGCAAGAAAAAAGUUUCAGUGUCACGCGUGCGCGGCUCGUUCUUCAUAUUCCUCGUACCGCCUGUGCAAUGUGCUCAGGAUCGGUCAUCGCCUUGUUGUGGUUGCAAGGCCCAUAUCGGACGUCUCAGUCAGUUCCAAGAGCCCAGUCUCCUCGUCUUCGUGGAGGGACCCAUACCCUUGCUUUUCCCGCACAGCACGCUGCAGGUUGCUCGGCGCACGCUUGAUCGCCUGGAUACUGGUCUUCGCGGCGCGUUCCGCUCGGUCUAUCAGCGAGCGGCCCAGGGCGGCUUGUCCGAGGCGCGGGCUGCCGGGAGCGGUUGGCGGUCGUACUGCCGCAGGCGAGCUGCCUUCUGCAGCCUGCGGCAAGUCCUCGGGUGCCGGCCGACCGUCACCCGGUUGCUUCGAAGUGUCAGCGGACUUGUCCGCCUCCUAAACACAGAAAACGUUGGCUUACACACUGUUACCGCGUUAUCACAUUGUUGCUUCCAUGCAUUUGGCUGUGCCAAAGAAAGGCUACGAAUGGAUCGGCUGGCGAUCUUCAUGUGAUCUGGGAGCCGCUCGGUACGUAUCUACAGGCACUGCGCCUGCCAGAAGACAACUCCCUUUCUUAGGAUAUGGACCGUUCGUGCGUGCGUCCACACGGCGCAAUUUGGGUACUUAUACACUUCACCAAAUGCGGUGCGAGCCGAAAUUAAGACAGGCAAAGUAUGCGUAGCAGCGUUUUCAAAAAACGUCUUCUGAUGAACGUCUUCUGUGACGGUCACAAAUGGACCGCUGUAUCGAGAUUUACUCGCCCAACUUGAAAGGCUUUCCAGGAGGACAACUGUUAUUUUACGUGUACAUAAUUACGUGGACGCAGGACGGAUAACCCUUCGGAAGAUAUAGCAGCAAAACUGUCAUUUCCUUCAAAAUUCGUCUUUUGCUCUGCGUCAAAUUUUUGAAGUACGCCGAAAAAGCACGUUAUGAAAUCGCACAUGCCAUACCGCCCCUGCAGAUUGCACGACAGGCAAAUGCACCCACUCUUCCCCCUCCGAUUUCCUCACCUCCACGAUCGGGCUGAGACAAGUCGCCG
rnacentral:lncRNA from 1 species